rnacentral:rRNA from 1 species
AGGACAGGUGGUGCAUGGUUGUCGUCAGCUCGUGUCGUGAGAUGUUGGGUUAAGUCCCGUAACGAGCGCAACCCUUGUCCUUAGUUACCAGCACGUUAUGGUGGGCACUCUAAGGAGACUGCCGGUGACAAACCGGAGGAAGGUGGGGAUGACGUCAAGUCAUCAUGGCCCUUACGGCCUGGGCUACACACGUGCUACAAUGGUCGGUACAAAGGGUUGCCAAGCCGCGAGGUGGAGCUAAUCCCAUAAAACCGAUCGUAGUCCGGAUCGCAGUCUGCAACUCGACUGCGUGAAGUCGGAAUCGCUAGUAAUCGUGAAUCAGAAUGUCACGGUGAAUACGUUCCCGGGCCUU